rnacentral:tRNA from 1 species
CGGGGUAUGGUGCAAACGUUCAGGCAGCAUACGGAGAACCGUCCUCGCUCCGUGAUAUGGGUUCGAAUCCCUUUACCCCGUCCA